rnacentral:misc_RNA from 1 species
UCCAGCUUGUCACCGGCAGUUUCUUCAGAGUGCCCGGCUCUACCCGGUGGCAACUGAAGAUGAGGGUUGCGCUCGUUGCGGGACUUAACCCAACAUCUCACGACACGAGCUGACGACGGCCAUGCAGCACCUGUGUUCCGGCCAGCCGAACUGAAGAAUGAGGUCUCCCCCACCCAUACCGGACAUGUCAAGGGCUGGUAAGGUGGGGAUGACGUUUCUAGGAGGGUG